CAUCUUUCUGAGCCCCUGGUGGGGAGGAGAUAGAGAAAAUCAGAAGUAAAACCAAGUCCAGAAAGAAGGAAGGGUGGGGACAGUGUGGUGCUCUGGAAUCCCUGGAGCCCAGGAGCAUGAAUGAAGGUAUUGAAUUUUCAGGAGGAGACAAUUAAGACCAAGCAUGGAUAUAUGGAAAAAAAGCAACACUUUCAGAGUAAACUUGAAGGAAAAUAAUCUGCAUUGUCAAGUCAUUGAAAUUUCUGAUUUGUGACAUCUCUUAAUAAGUCUGAG